GACGAACGCUGGCGGCGUGCCUAAUACAUGCAAGUCGAGCGGAAGUUGGAGAGCUUGCUCUUCAACUUUAGCGGCGGACGGGUGAGUAACACGUGGGCAACCUGCCCUGCAGAUCGGGAUAACUCCGGGAAACCGGUGCUAAUACCGAAUAGUUUUCGCCACCUCCUGGUGGCGUACGGAAAGACGGUUUCGGCUGUCACUGCAGGAUGGGCCCGCGGCGCAUUAGCUAGUUGGUGGGGUAACGGCCCACCAAGGCGACGAUGCGUAGCCGACCUGAGAGGGUGAUCGGCCACACUGGGACUAAGACACGGCCCAGACUCCUACGGGAGGCAGCAGUAGGGAAUCUUCCGCAAUGGACGAAAGUCUGACGGAGCAACGCCGCGUGAGUGACGAAGGUUUUCGGAUCGUAAAACUCUGUUGUGAGGGAAGAACAAGUACCAACUAACUACUGGUACCUUGACGGUACCUCACCAGAAAGCCACGGCUAACUACGUGCCAGCCGCCGCGGUAAUAC
rnacentral:rRNA from 1 species